rnacentral:lncRNA from 1 species
GGUUUGUUUGGGUGGGUUUUGGCUGACCAGCUUAUUUUUAGACUUGCCUUCAAUAUUUCUGGUUUCCUGUUUCAAGAAAUGUAAAUACCGCUUUCCGAUGGUCGCGUUGCUGUUUGUGGCGACACGUCCACGAGAUAGCACUGUUCUCAGCUCUGAGCCGCUGCUGGUGCCCUUCCACACAACAGCAAAGCCACAUGUGGCUGGAAGGACGUGGACACCCCGUGACCGUGACCGUGACCCAUGGCCCUCAUGACCCCGGGGGCUCAUCUGUGGAGACCUGUGUGGGCCUGGUUCCUGCUCCCUGGCCAGUGGCCGCCAUGACCACCUCCUCCCCACGCGGAGCAGAAGGGCGCCCAGGACAGGCACUCGGUGCUGUUGGCCUGAGAGAGCCGAAGGCAGGAACGCUGCCACUGCAGCGCCACGCAGUAAACUCCAGCACCAGAGGACAACACCAGGGGCCGCGCCACCCUGUCUGCCCCACCACUCCACCAUCGGGACACGACCGCACAGCACGGUCCCAAAUACCAACCUCCCGUUUGAAGCGGAUGCCCCACCAUCCAUUCACAGCGGUCAUACCAUGCGCACCAGCAAUUCUGCCCGGCGAGUUAACUCCCACCCAUCCCGCUUGUCGGCAGGCUGGACUUGACACCGCCUUGCCCCUUGUCCUCAAAAUGACCCUGAGUUGGGGGUCAGUGGGUGGAUGGGGUAUGGGGCCAGAGGAGGCACCUGGUUCACCCCAAUGUCAGCAUGGCCGUUGGUCCCUCCCGCCCCCUCUCGUUCUGGCUGAGGGUCAUGCUGACAAGACAUUCACAGGGUGGGGGAGGGACACGGUCUGGCCACACUGCCCAAGCUCACGUCCAGGGAGGCUGGCUCCACUGUCAAAGACCCUUGGAGCAACGGCACAGGAGACCUGUGGAUCUGGCCGAGGGGUCCUUUCUUUGUGCCCCAUGUGACCAAUGCUCUGCGGUGUUAGUGACCGCAUCACGCAAGGAGGCUCUGCGGGACUCUAAAGGGUCCGGGCAGUGUCCUGGAG